UACGUAGGGUGCAAGCGUUUGUCCGGAAUUAUUGGGCGUAAAGAGCUCGUAGGCGGUUUGUCGCGUCUGCUGUGAAAACCCGAGGCUCAACCUCGGGCCUGCAGUGGGUACGGGCAGACUAGAGUGCGGUAGGGGAGAUUGGAAUUCCUGGUGUAGCGGUGGAAUGCGCAGAUAUCAGGAGGAACACCCGUGGCGAAAGCGGCUCUCUGGGGACGGUACUGACGCUGAGACGCGAAAGCGUGGGGAGCAAACAGG
rnacentral:rRNA from 1 species